AUGCAACUGGAGGCCGUGCUGAAGCCUGUCCAGAAGAACGCCAAGAUCAUCCCAGAAUUAAUGAACAUCUGUGCCAAAAUGGACAAGAUCUGCCGGCGCUCCUGGGUGGAUUAUAUUCUUCCCAGCCCCACGAGGACGGCAGAGGACGGUUCCCUCUGGAUGGAAGGAGAACCGCCGAAGGCUCAGGAUCCCGCCAGCUUCGUGGUUCCGUUCCUGGACCUCCGGGUUGGGGCCGUCCACCUCCCUCCCGUUGCAUCCAUCCAGGUAUCUGUGCAGGACCUCACUCUGAACCUGGCAGAUGGCACUACCGUGACUGUUUCCCUGGGAAGUGUUUGCCGCGGCGAGUGCUGCCUGCCGCUGGGGUGUCUGAUCCUGUACGUUUCGUCUGAAGUUGCUGACGAAAUUUACUCCCAGCGCGGAGUGCAAAUGCCUUGCUCAGGUAAGCAGAAGAGCUGGCUUUCAGAGGAUAAGGGGUGGGAUGUGAUGGAGGGAUGUUGGGGGUGACUUCCUCCAUUUUGCCUCCAGCCAAAAGUAUUUGCUGUAGACAAGGGCUUACGCUCCCCUUGCUGCUGCUUCUCUGUAUGGAGCCACGAGCCCUUUUCUAGGAGACGAAGCAAAGCCUGUCCCCUGAGGCUUUCUCCCUUCCUGAAGUCAGAUGGGAAGAAGCAAGAGAAAGUGGAUCGCAGGCCCUUGGGAGGCGGAGUCGCUGUUCUCGCCUGUUUCCUGUGUCAUAUUUAUGCUGAGCUACAUCAAAGGUGGUGCCUGGAUGCUCUCAACCCAGAAGCCAACUUCACCCUGAAGACCGGCUUCUUCUUCGUGGCCUCUGUGAAUGCACACAAAUGGGUUUCAGUGCACCUGUGCAGAGACUCGUGGAAACUUCCAGAGCUUUUACACGUGUCCGUUAGGACUUCCCUCCUUUUGCAUGUGCCUCCCCCACCCAUGGCACGGAGUGCCUCAGUUCCUUUUUUUGCCAAGACCGCUGCAGCCGCACAUCAGCCACAGAGCUCCGUUCGUUUCUGUAAGAAAAGAAAAGACGGUUAGAUCUCUUCCGGCUCUUCCUCCGUUUUCUUCAUUCUGCGAGUAAAAGAAAAAAGAAAGGAAAGGAAAAGAGAAACGGAGAGAGAAGACAAACCUCUUUUCCCGCCCUUUUUUCUGCUGGGCCCUUUGCUCUUUUAAAGCCUCUUCAGGCCCCUUCAAGCAAUGCGAGACUUGCCCGAAUAAAAUAACCCUUUCUGACGGGCCUUCUCA
rnacentral:lncRNA from 1 species